ensembl:misc_RNA Metazoa_SRP Metazoan signal recognition particle RNA
GCUUGAACCCGGGCCUGGUGGCACAUGCCUGCAGUCCCACUUGGGAAGCUGAGGCAGGAGGAUUGCUCAAGCCUAGGAGUUCUGGGCUGUAGUGUGUUAGACUGAUUGGGUGUCUGCACUGAGUUCAGCAUCAAUAUGGUGACCUCCCAGGAGCGGAGGACCACCAAGUUGCCUAAGGAGGGGUGAACCAGUGGGUCGGAAACAGAGCAGGUCCAAAUUCCCGUGGUGAUCAAAAAGGACAGUUGCAGACACGGGGAGGACUUGGUAGUCCCAGCUCCAGGCUGGAUCUGAGCGUGCCUUUCCUCU